GGAUGAACGCUGGCGGUAUGCUUAACACAUGCAAGUCGAACGGGAUGCUUAGGCAUCUAGUGGCGGACGGGUGAGUAACGCGUGAGAAUCUGGCUCCAGGUCGGGGAUAACAGUUGGAAACGACUGCUAAUACCGGAUGUGCCGAGAGGUGAAAGAUUUAUCGCCUGGAGAUGAGCUCGCGUCUGAUUAGCUAGUUGGCGGUGUAAGGGACCACCAAGGCAUCGAUCAGUAGCUGGUCUGAGAGGAUGAUCAGCCACACUGGGACUGAGACACGGCCCAGACUCCUACGGGAGGCAGCAGUGGGGAAUUUUCCGCAAUGGGCGAAAGCCUGACGGAGCAAUACCGCGUGAGGGAGGAAGGCUCUUGGGUCGUAAACCUCUUUUCUCAAGGAAGAAGAAAGUGACGGUACUUGAGGAAUAAGCAUCGGCUAACUCCGUGCCAGCAGCCGCGGUAAUACGGAGGAUGCAAGCGUUAUCCGGAAUGAUUGGGCGUAAAGGGUCUGCAGGUGGAACUGAAAGUCUGCUGUUAAAGAGUUUGGCUUAACCAAAUAAAAGCGGUGGAAACUACAGAACUAGAGUGCGGUAGGGGCAAAAGGAAUUCCUGGUGUAGCGGUGAAAUGCGUAGAUAUCAGGAAGAACACCGGUGGCGAAAGCGUUUUGCUAGACCGUAACUGACACUGAGGGACGAAAGCUAGGGGAGCGAAUGGGAUUAGAUACCCCAGUAGUCCUAGCCGUAAACGAUG
rnacentral:rRNA from 1 species